rnacentral:lncRNA from 1 species
GUGCUGCCRUACUUGCCCCAUUUAGACGCCCGGCAGGAUGAGCUGUGGCUGGGAACGUACACUUAAUGGUGGUGGGCUUCAGUCGCAACAGCGUGCGAGAACRUCUUCCACCUGAGAUGUGGCCCAGCAGCAAGAGAAGGCAAUAUGGCUAACUAGAGUCGUCCAGUGUAAUCAUGAAUUAACAGUGGGUUCCUAUACUUACAUCUUAGCUUCAGAGAGAGUUAUCUUGUCCUUGCAGUCGGAUAAGGCUUCUCCCUUCUUGAUUCAGCACCACGUGCUCUUGACUCACACGAGCUGGAAGUCCAUCUGCCGGGGCCUCUCCGGCAGGGCUGCUGGGGCAGUUGUUGCGAAGACCUCUUCAGACACCGGCAUUUUUCUCGAAGGGUAGGUGUACAAGGAGCUCUUGCCAUCGUGACCAGAGUGUGUGACGCAGUAUCACACGAAAGGAAAAUUUGCUACUGCUUUGCCGAGGAGCUCCCCCAGCUCGACUGAUGUGGAGGGAAGGUGAGUGUCCCCCCGCGAGGGGCUCAGCAGUGAGCUUCUCUCUCCUCACUUGUCC